CACUCCUUUUGGAGUCCUUGUGUGAGCCCAGGAUGUGGGAAGUCAAAUACAAGAAGAGCAGCAGAGUCUUGAAGAUCAUUUGGCUGUUUUCCCCAUGCUAGUCCUCACCAAAGGAAAAAUUAACUUCAAGAAGUUAGAUGCAAUGCAUGACAACAACUGGGAUGGAGCCAAGGCAAAUGUUCUAGGCAUAUUGCCUGGAUAUAUUCAGAUUUCAAGGAGGUAGUGUCAACUUCAGUAAGUAUUUGGGCAGAUGCUCGUGGUAUGUUAACGGCUUACUCAGAUCAAAAUCCUGUGUGGCAGACACUGACCUAAUAUCCCUUCUCUCCAAUAAAAACUGUUAGCAAAAACUUCUGUUUCAUAUAAAAAUAAACCUCAAAGUUUUGCAGCAGCAGUAUUACAAGAUAAAGUUUCAGUCCAACUUCCAAUUUGAUAUUACAAAGACCUUAUGUGGAUAUGUACAUUUUCAUAUCUUUGUGUGGGAGAGAAAGUGUGUGUUCCUGCCUGUAUAUAAAAUAAGAUAGUACAUACAAGGUAGUACAUGUAAGUUUAAAAAAUAGUAAUGUUGUACUAUCAAUUUGAAACUGAAAUAAAUAUAACAUAGAAAAAUGUCUUUACCUCAGGAGUAGUAAUAUUUUAUUUUGGACCAAAAACACACAUAAAGCAAUGCUACCAACAAUUAAAUAUGAACUGCAUUUCCUCUUGAUCCCAAGAGAAUAGCUUAACUUUUUGCUAAGGAAUAUAUUAGAAGUGGUCAUGAUGCAGUUUGCAAAUUAUACUUUAAAAGAUAUUUUCACAGUGAGAUUGAAAGGUAUUAAAGACGUUAAUUAUACACAGAUUGUUAUGAUUUCUAGAGGAUAUAAAAAUCAAUUUGGUGAGAGAAUGUGAGGCAAGAGUUGUAGGACAUAUGUCUUAAAUUGCUAUUUAUUUAUGGCUGUCUUAUAUAUGGUUCUAACAUGUGAGAAUUAUAAUCAUUUUCUAAUAUGAGAUUGGUAUGUUAUCCCUUUUUAAAACUGAAAUACUGAGCUUCACUGAAGUCCGGGAGAAUUUU
rnacentral:lncRNA from 1 species